rnacentral:rRNA from 1 species
UAGGGAAUCUUCCGCAAUGGACGCAAGUCUGACGGAGCAACGCCGCGUGAGUGAAGAAGGAUUUCGGUUCGUAAAACUCUGUUGUUAGCGAAGAACAGCGCAUAGAGUAACUGUUAUGCGUGUGACGGUACCUAACCAGAAAGCCACGGCUCACUACGUGCCAGCAGCCGCGGUAAUACGUAGGUGGCAAGCGUUGUCCGGAUUUAUUGGGCGUAAAGCGAGCGCAGGCGGUCAAUUAAGUCUGAUGUGAAAGCCCCCGGCUCAACCUGGGAGUGGUAGUGGAGACGGGUUGACUUGAGUGCAGAAGAGGAGAGUGGAACUCCAUGUGUAGCGGUGAAAUGAGUAGAUAUAAGGAGGAACGCCAGUGGCGAAGGCGACUCUGUAGUCUGUAACUGACGAUGAGGUUCGAAAGCGUGGGUAGCAAACAGG